AUUGCAGUGAGCUGGCUUGUUGUUUAUCAGGCAGCCUGCUCCAUGGGGAGGGUAGGCCACUGUAUCUGCUGCUAGGUUUAGGAACAGAAGCUUACAACUGGCCUCUCCGUGUGGUAACCUACAGUACCAUAGUCUGCUGUGUGUGUAGCCGUAUGUAACUGUGAGGUAGGGAAAGUACUAUUGGUGUGUCAAUGUUGUUGGUACACCUAAUGUCCAGUCAUGAUGAUUAUAUUUAUGGGAUCCUGAGUGGCUCAGAGGUCUAAGGCAGUGCAUCCCAGUGCAAGAGGCGUCACUGUAGUCCCUGGUUUGAAUCCAGGCUGCAUCACACCUGGCUGUCCCAUAGGGCGGUGCACAAUUGGCCCAGCAUCGUCCAGGUUUGGCUGGAGUGUGCCGUCAUUGUAAAUAAGAAUUUGUUCUUAACUGACAUGCCUAGUUAAAUAACAGUUACAUUUAAAUGUACUCAUGUUGGAGUAGGUACAAGUUGAAACUAAUCACUUGUUUAGGGUUUGAUGUUUUCAUGUUAAUGUGUAUUUGAAAGUUCACCUGUGUUUGAGUCAGUUGAAAAGAUUACGUAAAAGAGAUUUUAAGCCUUUUUCCAAGACACAAAACAUUUAUUCUCUGAGAAUGUAUUUCUCUCUGAUAUAGUAUGAUAAUGAUUGUCUUUGACAUAAAAUGACUGUGAACUAAGGCCUGAUUACUGUAACAUGGUCAACAUAUCAUUCCCACACACAAUACUCGGGCUUGUAUGAGACACACACACACAGAGCGUAUGCACCUGGUCUGACACCUGUACAGGUAACCUCCCACGAGGGAGGGAGGGAGGGAGAGAGAGAAGGAGGGAGGGAGGGAGAGAGGACACAUACACUCUUCUCCUGCUGAACAUACUGCUGUUACAUAUUCUACUCUACAUCCAAAAAGAAAACACCAUUCACAGAGUUGGACAAUUCCACCAUGGCUUCACCAGGGGAGAAGGCUCUCCUCCUCCUCUUCCUAGUCCAUGCAGUCUCAGGUAAGCAGUAAACGCACCAGGCCUAACCCUCUUCCAUUUUGCAACAGUGGAUCAUUCCUAAAUUACAGUUAGAUCCAAACGGGAAACAA
rnacentral:lncRNA from 1 species